rnacentral:rRNA from 1 species
CCUACGGGAGGCAGCAGUGAGGAAUAUUGGUCAAUGGACGAGAGUCUGAACCAGCCAAGUAGCGUGAAGGAUGACUGCCCUAUGGGUUGUAAACUUCGUUUAUAUGGGAAUAAAAUGUUCCACGUGUGGGAUUUUGUAUGUACCAUAUGAAUAAGGAUCGGCUAACUCCGUGCCAGCAGCCGCGGUAAUACGGUGGAUCCGAGCGUUAUCCGGAUUUAUUGGGUUUAAAGGGAGCGUAGGUGGAUUGUUAAGUCAGUUGUGAAAGUUUGCGGCUCAACCGUAAAAUUGCAGUUGAAACUGGCAGUCUUGAGUACAGUAGAGGUGGGCGGAAUUCGUGGUGUAGCGGUGAAAUGCUUAGAUAUCACGAAGAACUCCGAUUGCGAAGGCAGUUCACUGGACUGCAACUGACACUGAGGCUCGAAAGUGUGGGUAUCAAACAGGAUUAGAUACCCGGGUAGUC